GGAGCCUCUUUGUGUCCUCCUGAAGCCUCUUCCAGGAUGUGACUGUUGCUAUGCCCACCUGUCAGCCAGUGCCCGGAAUCUCCUGCAGGGCUGUCUCAAAGAAAAUGCUCCGGAGGACUUGAGGAAAUACGUAAAGAAGAAUCCCAGUGGCAACAGAGUGGUGGUGCAGGCCUUUAAUCCUAGCACUCAGGGAGGCAGAGCCAGUCGGAUCUCCAUGAGCUCGAGGCCAGCCUGGUCUACAAAGCCAGUCCAGGACAGCCAAGGCUACACAGAGAAACCCUGUCUUGGGGGAAAAAAAGUGGCUAUAGGCCAUAGAUUCUGACGAGCUUGUCCCGGGCACUGUAGUAGGCAGCCCUCUUCCUGCUCAUCUCCCUCAAGGUUUACACAGACCCUUGGCUCACUACUAUGGAACCUUGGUUGUGGGUGACACCAGGGCUUGAAAGCCGUGAAGAACAUGUCAGCACAUCCCUGGGAGGCCCACAGCCGGGAGGUUGGGAAAUCAUUCCUUUGCCCUAGGCAUGAAUCCCCAUCGGGCCACGCAAGAUGAAUGAGAUGGGGCUAGGGAAGGUUACACCGGAUCACGCUGCUAUUUUUGGAGCAGGAACAUGGAAGGGGCUACGCGCCAUCAACUCCAUUAAGGAGAUGCAGGAUCACCAUGCAAGUCAAACAGACCGGAAACCAAAAGGGCUGGUACCUUCACUGCUGUUAGCAACCAGGGCAACAAAACCAGUGUAACUAUGGGAAGGCGAACUCACUUGGUGUUCGGG